rnacentral:snoRNA from 1 species
AGCCUCAUUCCAUAUGGAAAUGGGCACAGAUGAUCAUGGUGUCCAGAAAAAUGAAGCUAAAUUGAAACACAGUUUAUCCGUCCAUUACAGUUAAUUUAUUGCAGUAGUGACAAUGAGACCUAUAACAUUU